rnacentral:rRNA from 1 species
AGAGUUUGAUCAUGGCUCAGAACGUACGCUGGCGGCACGCCUAACACAUGCAAGUCGAACGAAGUAGCAAUACUUAGUGGCAGACGGGUGAGUAACAUGUAGGUAUCUGCCCUUUGGCCUGGAAUAACACGAGGAAACUUGUGCUAAUACCGGAUAAGUCUUUACGGAGAAAGCUUUAUGCACCAUUGGAUGAGCCUGCACUUGAUUAGUUUGUUGGUGGGGUAAUGGCCUACCAAGACUGUGAUCAAUAGCUGAUUUGAGAGGAUGAUCAGCCACAUUGGGACUGAGACACGGCCCAAACUCCUACGGGAGGCAGCAGUGGGGAAUCUUGCACAAUGGAGGAAACUCUGAUGCAGCGAUGCCGCGUGAGUGAAGAAGGCCCUUGGGUUGUAAAGCUCUUUCGUCGGGGAAGAAAAUGACUGUACCCGAAUAAGAAGGUCCGGCUAACUUCGUGCCAGCAGCCGCGGUAAUACGAAGGGACCUAGCGUAGUUCGGAAUUACUGGGCUUAAAGAGUUCGUAGGUGGUUGAAAAAGUUAGUGGUGAAAUCCCAGAGCUUAACUCUGGAACUGCCAUUAAAACUUUUCAGCUAGAGUAUGAUAGAGGAAAGCAGAAUUUCUAGUGUAGAGGUGAAAUUCGUAGAUAUUAGAAAGAAUACCAAUUGCGAAGGCAGCUUUCUGGAUCAUUACUGACACUGAGGAACGAAAGCAUGGGUAGCGAAGAGGAUUAGAUACCCUCGUAGUCCAUGCCGUAAACGAUGUGUGUUAGACGUUGGAAAUUUAUUUUCAGUGUCGCAGGGAAACCGAUAAACACACCGCCUGGGGAGUACGACCGCAAGGUUAAAACUCAAAUGAAUUGACGGGGACCCGCACAAGUAGUGGAGCAUGUGGUUUAAUUCGAAGAUACGCGCAGAACCUUACCAACACUUGACAUGUUCGUCGCGACUCUAAGAGAUUAGAGUUUUCGGUUCGGCCGGACGAAACACAGGUGCUGCAUGGCUGUCGUCAGCUCGUGUCGUGAGAUGUUGGGUUAAGUCCCGCAACGAGCGCAACCCUCACUUUUAGUUGCCAUCAUUAAGUUGGGCACUCUGAAAGAACUGCCAGUGAUAAGCUGGAGGAAGGUGGGGAUGACGUCAAGUCCUCAUGGCCCUUACGUGUUGGGCUACACACGUGCUACAAUGGUAUCUACAACAGGAAGCAAGACUGCGAAGUUAAGCCAAUCCCUAAAAGAUACCUCAGUUCGGAUUGCACUCUGCAACUCGAGUGCAUGAAGCUGGAAUUACUAGUAAUCGUGGAUCAGCGUGCCACGGUGAAUGCGUUCCCGGGUCUUGUACACACCGCCCGUCACACCAUGGGAGUUGGUUCUACCUUAAGGCAAGGUUUUAAACCCUUGACCACGGUAUAGUCAGCGACUGGGGUGAAGUCGUAACAAGGUAA